rnacentral:rRNA from 1 species
GACGAACCGUCCUAACGUUGUUCGGAUUCACUGGGCUUAAAGGGCGCGUAGGCGGCUUGCCAAGUCAGGGGUGAAAUCUUUCGGCUUAACCGGAAAAGUGCUUCUGAUACUGGCGAGCUGGAGGGAGGUAGGGGCAGACGGAACUUCCGGUGGAGCGGUGAAAUGCGUAGAUAUCGGAAGGAACGCCGGUGGCGAAAGCGGCGUGCUGGACCCCAUCUGACGCUGAGGCGCGAAAGCCAGGGGAGCAAACGGG